CCUACGGGGGGCACCAGCAAGGAGUUUUCCGCAAUGGGCGCAAGCCUGACGGAGCAACGCCGCGUGGGGGAUGACACCUUUCGGGGCGUAAACCCCUUUUCUUGGGGACGAAGCAGUGACGGUACCCGAGGAAGAAGGCCCGGCUAACUACGUGCCAGCAGCCGCGGUAAUACGUAGGGGCCGAGCGUUGUCCGGAGUUACUGGGCGUAAAGCGCGCGCAGGCGGCUCGUCAAGCCUGACGUGAAAGCCCCCGGCUCAACCGGGGAGGGUCGUCGGGGACUGGCGGGCUUGAGGUCGGCAGGGGUUGGUGGAAUUCCCGGUGUAGCGGUGAAAUGCGUAGAGAUCUGAAGGAAUACCAGUGGCGAAGGCGGCCCCCUGGACAAAGACUGACGCUCAGAUGCGAAAGCGUGGGGAGCAAACAGGAUUAGAUACCCGCGUAGUC
rnacentral:rRNA from 1 species